rnacentral:rRNA from 1 species
UACAGAGGUCCCGAGCGUUGUUCGGAUUCAUUGGGCGUAAAGGGUGCGCAGGCGGCGGGGCAAGUCUGAUGUGAAAUCCCGGGGCUCAACCCCGGAACUGCAUUGGAUACUGCCUUGCUUGAGUACUGGAGAGGAGACUGGAAUUUACGGUGUAGCAGUGAAAUGCGUAGAUAUCGUAAGGAAGGCCAGUGGCGAAGGCGAGUCUCUGGACAGUAACUGACGCUGAGGCACGAAGGCCAGGGGAGCAAACGGG